GCCGACAGGGCGGAGAAUACAAGACCCCACUUGUGGGGGAAUAAUCCCGACCGACUUGUAACGGUUUUCUAACCUGUUGGCACCCUAUU
rnacentral:ncRNA from 1 species